rnacentral:rRNA from 1 species
GACGAACGCUGGCGGCGUGCUUAACACAUGCCAGUCGAACGCUGAAGCUUGGUGCUUGCACUGGGUGGAUGAGUGGCGAACGGGUGAGUAAUACGUGAGUAACCUGCCCUUGACUCUGGGAUAAGCCUGGGAAACUGGGUCUAAUACUGGAUAUGACAUGCCACUGCAUGGUGGUGUGUGGAAAGGGUUUUACUGGUUUUGGAUGGGCUCACGGCCUAUCAGCUUGUUGGUGGGGUAAUGGCCUACCAAGGCGACGACGGGUAGCCGGCCUGAGAGGGUGACCGGCCACACUGGGACUGAGACACGGCCCAGACUCCUACGGGAGGCAGCAGUGGGGAAUAUUGCACAAUGGGCGGAAGCCUGAUGCAGCGACGCCGCGUGAGGGAUGACGGCCUUCGGGUUGUAAACCUCUUUCAGCACGGAAGAAGCGAGAGUGACGGUACGUGCAGAAGAAGCGCCGGCUAACUACGUG